AACGAACGCUGGCGGCGUGGAUUAGGCAUGCAAGUCGAACGGACACUUAGCUUUUUCGAGUGUUAGUGGCGAAAGGGUGAGUAACACGUGGGAACCUGCCUCGAAGUUCGGAAUAACCGCGGGAAACUGCGGCUAAUACCGGAUGUGGCCUGAGGGUCAAAGGCGCAAGUCGCUUCGAGAGGGGCCCGCGUCCGAUUAGCUAGUUGGUGGGGUAACGGCCUACCAAGGCGACGAUCGGUAGCUGGUCGAGAGGAUGAUCAGCCACACUGGGACUGAGACACGGCCCAGACUCCUACGGGAGGCAGCAGUGGGGAAUAUUGGACAAUGGGGGAAACCCUGAUCCAGCAAUGCCGCGUGGGUGAUGAAGGCCUUCGGUUGUAA
rnacentral:rRNA from 1 species